UCUCUCCGUCAUGCAUGCAAAGGCUCACACUUGGAAAUGCGAGAUCAAAUGGGGAGGUGCGUUUCAGGAUGGGGCCGGUUCAACAGUUGGAGAAGAGGUGGAACAAGUAAACAGUUUCCUGUCUAGGGCGGCCAUCACAACGAAGUACAUGUCUAAAGCAGGGCGAACAGACAUGCUGACCCUCCUGGCUUUGGG